CUGGCCUCAAACUCAUGGUGAUCCUUCUGCCUCAGCUGCCUGAGUACUGGGAUUACAGGCAUGUGGCACUACUCCUGGCCUCUCUUAGGAUGAAAAAGGGCAUUAUGGGUGGAUUAAUUCAAAUUAAACACCAUUAUUGAAAAAAGAAGAUCAUAGUCUACAGAGGGUAGUGUUUGUUAAUUGAGAUCUGCAUGUAUUCUGGGAAGCCAAUAAGAUCACAUCAACAGACCCUUCUAUGGGCAGGGUACACUCUGCUCGGUCUCCCACAUGGAUGCCUAAUUCUAAAACACACCAAUGAUUUAAGACUACGACAGCAGCAUGGCC